rnacentral:lncRNA from 1 species
UUGGCCAAACCAUCCAAGAAUUGUAAGCAAUUGUAAAGUUCUCUUAAGUUUCAAUACAAAGCUUCCUUUCUUCCAUCUUCUAAGUGAUUUUAGCAUUCUCCAAGCUAUCUUAGCUUUCUUUGUGAUUCGAUCCAGGGAAGUGAGGCUUCGAAGGCUUACUUAGCUUGUUCAUCGAGGUAUUCAAGUCUAAGUGCCGCACGGGCG